GUUCCCUGAGUUAUGCAGAUUUUCAAAAUGUUGACAUAUUUCAAUAUACAAUAUUUAAAAAUCAUACUUGUUAAUAUCACUAUGGAUCUCAUUAACAAAGUCUUUAAAUAUUGAAAAGCUGUCAAACUCAUGGUGGUAGAUACAAGUUUUGCAAAUUCUAAUAUUUAUCUGAACACUUGAAUUUUAUCAUUGGCCAAGAAUGCCAUCAAUUGUAUUGGAUGUAGUAAGUUCACUUCAUUCAUUUUGGAGAAAAUAUCUGCUAAAUACCCAAACCUGAACAGCCAUUGUCUGUCUGUCAGUUGUUCUUUCAAGUAAAAAUGGUGUUCCAUGAUAAAAGCAGCUAGUUCAACUUGCAGCUCAUGAAAUUAUACAAGUGUUUUUCCUUGAGACAACCACUCUACCUUACUAUGCAGCAGAAAUGCUUUAUGCCCACAUUUCCCAAACUGCAUGCUGAAGCACCCCUAAGGCACCACCAAGGACUCACAAGAGCUCCGCAGAUAUUUUAUGUUUUCAAGGGAGACACAGCAACAUCUAUUGGACAUCCGGCAAAACUCAACAUGCUACAGGAAAGGAGAGUGCCAUCCAAUCUGAUUCCAAGAUUUGAAAAAUUGGUGCAGUGACCAACAGGCACACCCCAUUACCAAAUUCAGGGUAGCCAAGAGGGCAGAACACGCAGAUGAAGCUGGCACAAAUGUGGGAGAUUCACAACGUGUCCUAGAGGGGCAGUGAAGAACACUCUGCUUGAGGACCUCGUUGAAGAUGAAUGAUGCAGUGUCCUACAGCUUUCCCAGGACAGUAUGUUCAGAGACCUGGAGGGAUGUGGGAUUCUUACUUAACCGGUAUCCAGGUGCUGGGUUCUGAGGAUAAGAUGUCGUCCAUGACUUUGAGGAACUCACAGUCUGGAUUCCAUGCCCCUCCAGUGACCAUUAGUGGAGAAGAAUGCAAAAAAGAGUGCUCAUCAAGUGCUUCAAAUGUUGCUUUCUCAUUUCUCACUGUGAACUCUCUAAAGGCAACGACUGAGUCUUGUCCUUGUAAACGGCACAUUGUUGGUACCUG
rnacentral:lncRNA from 1 species